rnacentral:rRNA from 1 species
GAUGAACGCUGGCGGCGUGCCUAAUACAUGCAAGUCGAGCGAACGGACGAGAAGCUUGCUUCUCUGAUAUUAGCGGCGGACGGGUGAGUAACACGUGGAUAACCUACCUAUAAGACUGGGAUAACUUCGGGAAACCGUAGCUAAUACCGGAUAAUAUUUUGAACCGCAUGGUUCAAAAGUGAAAGACGGUCUUGCUGUCACUUAUAGAUGGAUCCGCGCUGCAUUAGCUAGUUGGUAAGGUAACGGCUUACCAAGGCAACGAUGCAUAGCCGACCUGAGAGGGUGAUCGGCCACACUGGAACUGAGACACGGUCCAGACUCCUACGGGAGGCAGCAGUAGGGAAUCUUCCGCAAUGGGCGAAAGCCUGACGGAGCAACGCCGCGUGAGUGAUGAAGGUCUUCGGAUCGUAAAACUCUGUUAUUAGGGAAGAACAAAUGUGUAAGUAACUGUGCACAUCUUGACGGUACCUAAUCAGAAAGCCACGGCUAACUACGUG